UUUCGAUGAGCAACGAAGAGUUGAGGAAAGGGGAAUAGAAAGAGAAAAAGAGGAAGAAAGGGGCGGGUGUAAAUCGAUUCUCUUGUCAACGAUGCUAGAAUGUGUUUUUCUUGAGAAAACUCGAUCAUUCGAGGAGAAAGAAAAAAUCAAUGUUUCUCAUGCAAAUUUCUAUUAUUGCGGCAAGCCAUGGAGCAAAACGAGACGCUCCAACUUCCGCCUACCUCAUUGAGGUAUUUCUGGCGCCGUAAUAUCCCUCAAAAAUAAAAUACGCUGAAACUCGAAAGUCAGAUACCUCACAAAUGUCCAAGAUCCUCCUUCUAGAAAGAAAUUUCUUGGCUAUUAAUAUUUGUUACACGCGCACGCUAACAAACAGUUCAAAAAUGGACAUAACGGCAAAUUCACAUUAUACUAUAUGGCAUCUUAGACACCGAAAUUACCGACAUUACAUUACAUAUUUACAUACAAUUACAUAUUUUACAUUACUUUUGCUCGGAAAACGUAAGGAUUCUUCGACGUAGUUCUGUGAAACGCGGCAAUAGUUAUCACAGCAAAAGGAAAGAAACGAGAGAUCGUGCAAGAAUCACGUGAGUCAGUCGAUUAUUUCACGAACACGUUGCGAUCACGCGGGCUUGUCUGCGCGAGAAGCGUCUUGGCGGUCGCGAUGUGACGGUCGUAAAAAGGUUUCACGGUCCGUUCAGAAUCAACCAGGUCGAAGAACAAGAUGGCUUGAUAACUCGAUAGGAACGUGUUGUUUCGCCCUCCUUUCACGAUCGCCUCGAAAGUAUCGCGACUUCUGAUUAAAUUCACUCGACACGCCAGUAGAGCCAAUUAGAUAGAAAUAUUGCCGCAAUAACGCACGCGGCAAUUAAAGAUUUUCGCUAUUCUAAUUAACAGAUAUCGAGAGAUACGCGCUACUGGCAGUUACUUAC
rnacentral:misc_RNA from 1 species